rnacentral:rRNA from 1 species
AACGAACGCUGGCGGCGCGCCUAAUACAUGCAAGUCGAGCGAGAAGACGUAGCAAUACGUUUGUAAAGCGGCGAACGGGUGAGGAAUACAUGGGUAACCUACCCUCGAGUGGGGAAUAACUAGCCGAAAGGUUAGCUAAUACCGCGUACGCUUCUUGGACUUCGGUUCAGGGAGGAAAGCGAUACCGUGGGUAUCGCGCUCUUGGAUGGGCUCAUGUCCUAUCAGCUUGUUGGGAGGUAACGGCUCACCAAGGCUUCGACGGGUAGCUGGUCUGAGAGGACGAUCAGCCACACUGGCACUGCGACACGGGCCAGACUCCUACGGGAGGCAGCAGUAAGGAAUAUUGCGCAAUGGGCGAAAGCCUGACGCAGCGACGCCGCGUGGGGGAUGAAGGUCUUCGGAUUGUAAACCCCUUU